GUCAUCAUCAACGGAAUAAUCAUCACUGCCGCUAUUGCGUCUCGCUUCUACCACAAGGGAUCCGAGCAGUCUAUGGAAUGUGAGAAUUUAAUUUUAGUUAAAACGCCUCCACCCAAUUUGCCUCAAUACCAACUCCGAUUGAGAUUAGCACUGUUAUGGAGGAACAUCUGGCGACAGUGGAGUCGGCUUUGGUUUAUGAGAGUGAAAAUGCGCAGCCUUUGAGGUGAAGCACGUGGUGGUGAACGAUUCUGAGGUUAUGGAAAACAACGACGUUGCAGAAGAUGAAGACAAAGACGAGUUUAUUGUCUCCAAUUUGAGGUGGUGGUGCCGGAG
rnacentral:lncRNA from 1 species